rnacentral:rRNA from 1 species
AUUGAACGCUGGCGGCAUGCCUUACACAUGCAAGUCGAACGGUAACGGGCCUUCGGGUGCCGACGAGUGGCGAACGGGUGAGUAAUGUAUCGGAACGUACCUUUCGGUGGGGGAUAACGUAGCGAAAGUUACGCUAAUACUGCAUAUUCUGUGAGCAGGAAAGCAGGGGAUCGCAAGACCUUGCGCUGAUUGAGCGGCCGAUAUCAGAUUAGCUAGUUGGUGAGGUAAAGGCUCACCAAGGCGACGAUCUGUAGCGGGUCUGAGAGGAUGAUCCGCCACACUGGAACUGAGACACAGUCCAGACUCCUACGGGAGGCAGCAGUGGGGAAUUUUGGACAAUGGGGGCAACCCUGAUCCAGCCAUGCCGCGUGAGUGAAGAAGGCCUUCGGGUUGUAAAGCUCUUUCGGCCGGGAAGAAAUCGUAUCAGCUAAUACCUGGUGCGGAUGACGGUACCGGCAUAAGAAGCACCGGCUAACUACGUGCCAGCCGCCGCAGUAAUAC